GUGCUCGCUUUGGCAGCAUGUAUACUAAAACUGGGAUGAUACAGAGAAGAUGAGCACGGCCCCUGUGCAAAGACGACAUACAAAUCUGUGAAGUGUCCCAUGUUUUU